AACAAGGCGUACCUGCGGACCUGCGGAGGGAUCAUUACCGAGUUUACAACUCCCAAACCCCUGUGAACAUACCUAUACGUUGCCUCGGCGGAUCAGCCCGCGCCCCGUAAAACGGGACGGCCCGCCCGAGGACCCUAAACUCUGUUUUUAGUGGAACUUCUGAGUAAAACAAACAAAUAAAUCAAAACUUUCAGCAAUGGAUCU
rnacentral:misc_RNA from 1 species